CCUACGGGCGGCAGCAGUGGGGGAUAUUGCACAAUGGGGGGAACCCUGAUGCAGCGACGCCGCGUGUGGGAAGACGGUCCUCUGGAUUGUAAACCACUGUCCCCAGGGACGAAAAUGACGGUACCUGGGGAGGAAGCUCCGGCUAACGACGUGCCAGCAGCCGCGGUAAUACGUAGGGAGCGAGCGGUGUCCGGAAUUACUGGGUGUAAAGGGAGCGUAGGCGGGGAUGCAAGUUGGGUGUAAAAACUACCGGCUCAACUGGUAGUCGCACUCAAAACUGCAGCUCUUGAGUGAAGUAGAGGCAAGCGGAAUUCCUAGUGUAGCAGUGAAAUGCGUAGAUAUUAGGAGGAACACCAGUGGCGAAGGCGGCCUGCUGGGCUUUUACUGACGCUGAGGCUCGAAAGUGUGGGGAGCAAACAGGAUUAGAUACCCGUGUAGUC
rnacentral:rRNA from 1 species